GCAGCACAUUAUUUUCACUAGGCAUUUGAAAAUAAUUGACAGCUUGUAAUACUGUCCUUACUGGUUUGGGAUUAUUCUCCAGGGUUAUUUAUUUGUAUUUCCAGACAAUGUAUGUUCACAUGUGUUUAUAGGCUUUCCUGCUAAACCCAUACAGGCGUGAAAUCAGUAUGUUGUCAAAUUUACUUUCUCCCCUAGUACUGAUGGGGUGCGGCUGACUGCCUCCCCAUGAGCAUUAUCCAGUCUGUGUCCUUGCAAAUAAUGUGCAGGAAAACAGACGUUCUGUCAUUCACACAUCUGUCCAACAUUAGUGAUUAGUGUCCCGUGUAACAGACAGGCUCUCACACUCCUCAGUCUCCAGCAACAAUUGUGCAAUAAACUGAAGUCUAUAUUUUU